rnacentral:rRNA from 1 species
GAUGAACGCUGGCGGCGUGCCUAAUACAUGCAAGUCGAGCGAACGGACGAGAAGCUUGCUUCUCUGAUGUUAGCGGCGGACGUGUGAGUAACACGUGGAUAACCUACCUAUAAGACUGGGAUAACUUCGGGAAACCGUAGCUAAUACCGGAUAAUAUUUUGAACCGCAUGGUUCAAAAGUGAAAGACGGUCUUGCUGUCACUUAUAGAUGGAUCCGCGCUGCAUUAGCUAGUUGGUAAGGUAACGGCUUACCAAGGCAACGAUGCAUAGCCGACCUGAGAGGGUGAUCGGCCACACUGGAACUGAGACACGGUCCAGACUCCUACGGGAGGCAGCAGUAGGGAAUCUUCGGCAAUGGGCGAAAGCCUGACGGAGCAACGCCGCGUGAGUGAUGAAGGUAUUCGGAUCGUAAAACGCUGUUAUUAGGGAAGAACAUAUGUGUAAGUAACUGUGCACAUCUUGACGGUACCUAAUCAGAAAGCCACGGCUAACUACGUG